rnacentral:rRNA from 1 species
CCGGGGCUAAUACCGGAUAACACCUACCCCCGCAUGGGGGAAGGUUGAAAGGUGGCUUCGGCUAUCACUUACAGAUGGACCCGCGGCGCAUUAGCUAGUUGGUGAGGUAACGGCUCACCAAUGCGACGAUGCGUACCCGACCUGACAGGGUGAUCGGCCACACUGGGACUGAGACACGGCCCAGACUCCUACGGGAGGCAGCAGUAUGGAAUCUUCCGCAAUGGACGAAAGUCUGACGGAGCAG